GAUGAACGCUGGCGGCGUGCCUAAUACAUGCAAGUCGAGCGAAUGGAUUAAGAGCUUGCUCUUAUGAAGUUAGCGGCGGACGGGUGAGUAACACGUGGGUAACCUGCCCAUAAGACUGGGAUAACUCCGGGAAACCGGGGCUAAUACCGGAUAACAUUUUGAACCGCAUGGUUCGAAAUUGAAAGGCGGCUUCGGCUGUCACUUAUGGAUGGACCCGCGUCGCAUUAGCUAGUUGGUGAGGUAACGGCUCACCAAGGCAACGAUGCGUAGCCGACCUGAGAGGGUGCUAGGCCUCACUGGGACGGAGACACGGCCCAGACUCCUACGGGAGGCAGCAGUAGGGAAUCUUCCGCAAUGGACGAAAGUCUGACGGAGCAACGCCGCGUGAGUGAUGAAGGCUUUCGGGUCUUAAAACUCUGUUGUUAGGGAAGAACAAGUGCUAGUUGAAUAAGCUGGCACCUUGACGGUACCUAACCAGAAAGCCACGGCUAACUACGUGCCAGCCGCCGCCGUAA
rnacentral:rRNA from 1 species